GAGGAAUAUUGGACAAUGGGGGGAACCCUGAUCCAGCCAUGCCGCGUGUGUGAAGAAGGCCUUAUGGUUGUAAAGCACUUUAAGCGAGGAGGAGGCUCUUUUGGUUAAUACCCAAGAUGAGUGGACGUUACUCGCAGAAUAAGCACCGGCUACCUCUGUGCCAGCAGCCGCGGUAAUACAGAGGGUGCGAGCGUUAAUCGGAUUUACUGGGCGUAAAGCGUGCGUAGGCGGCUUUUUAAGUCGGAUGUGAAAUCCCCGAGCUUAACUUGGGAAUUGCAUUCGAUACUGGGAAGCUAGAGUAUGGGAGAGGAUGGUAGAAUUCCAGGUGUAGCGGUGAAAUGCGUAGAUAUAGGAAGGAACACCAGUGGCGAAGGCGACCACCUGGACUGAUACUGACACUGAGGUGCGAAAGCGUGGGGAGCAAACA
rnacentral:rRNA from 1 species